rnacentral:rRNA from 1 species
CCACGGGGGGCAGCAGUGGGGAAUAUUGGACAAUGGGCGAAAGCCUGAUCCAGCCAUGCCGCGUGUGUGAAGAAGGCCUUCGGGUUGUAAAGCACUUUCAGUGGGGAAGAAAGCCUUGGGGCUAAUACCCUCGAGGAAGGACAUCACCCACAGAAGAAGCACCGGCUAACUCCGUGCCAGCAGCCGCGGUAAUACGGAGGGUGCGAGCGUUAAUCGGAAUUACUGGGCGUAAAGCGCGCGUAGGCGGUCUGAUAAGCCGGUUGUGAAAGCCCCGGGCUCAACCUGGGAACGGCAUCCGGAACUGUCAGGCUAGAGUGCAGGAGAGGAAGGUAGAAUUCCCGGUGUAGCGGUGAAAUGCGUAGAGAUCGGGAGGAAUACCAGUGGCGAAGGCGGCCUUCUGGACUGACACUGACGCUGAGGUGCGAAAGCGUGGGUAGCAAACAGGAUUAGAUACCCCAGUAGUC